rnacentral:tRNA from 1 species
GGUAGACACAAGGGACUUAAAAUCCCUCGGACAUUGCGUCCGUGCCGGUUCAAGUCCGGCCCCGGGCA